rnacentral:sRNA from 1 species
UGGAUAGCACUGAACAUUGGUUUUCUCUCUUUAUCCACAGACCAGGUACAGCUUGGGCAGCAGCAGGACAGGCUUCCCUUGCACUUUCUAUCAAUGUCCUUUGACCUUGGAGCUGGAAAGACUACCUUUUAAAGGCAACAGGUAAGACAGUCUUUGGCCCUGUUGCUGAGAAUUUCCACA